CAAUAGCGUAUAUUUAAGUUGCUGCAGUUAAAAAGCUCGUAGUUGGAUUUCGGGUGGGAAUGGCCGGUCCGCCGUUUCGGUGUGCACUUGCUACGCCCACCUUGCUGCCGGGGACGUGCUCUUGAGUUCACGCUCGGGACACGGAGUCGGCGAGGUUACUUUGAGUAAAUUAGAGUGUUCAAAGCAGGCCUACGCUCUGAAUACAUUAGCAUGGAAUAACACGAUAGGACUCUGGCCUAUCUUGUUGGUCUGUAGGACCGGAGUAAUGAUUAAGAGGGACAGUCGGGGGCAUUCGUAUUUCAUUGUCAGAGGUGAAAUUCUUGGAUUUAUGAAAGACGAACUACUGCGAAAGCAUUUGCCAAGAGUGUUUUCAUUAA
rnacentral:rRNA from 1 species